rnacentral:rRNA from 1 species
GGCUCAGAUUGAACGCUGGCGGCAUGCCUUACACAUGCAAGUCGAACGGGCAGCACGGACUUCGGUCUGGUGGCGAGUGGCGAACGGGUGAGUAAUGUAUCGGAACGUACCUUUCAGUGGGGGAUAACGUAGCGAAAGUUACGCUAAUACCGCAUAUUCUGUGAGCAGGAAAGCAGGGGAUCGCAAGACCUUGCGCUGAUUGAGCGGCCGAUAUCAGAUUAGCUAGUUGGUGAGGUAAAGGCUCACCAAGGCGACGAUCUGUAGCGGGGUCUGAGAGGAUGAUCCGCCACACUGGAACUGAGACACGGUCCAGACUCCUACGGGAGGCAGCAGUGGGGAAUUUUGGACAAUGGGGGCAACCCUGAUCCAGCCAUGCCGCGUGAGUGAAGAAGGCCUUCGGGUUGUAAAGCUCUUUCGGCCGGGAAGAAAUCGCAUGGGCUAAUACCCUGUGCGGAUGACGGUACCGGCAUAAGAAGCACCGGCUAACUACGUG